GACGAACGCUGGCGGCGUGCUUAACACAUGCAAGUCGAACGAAGUGGCGAACGGGUGAGUAACGCGUAAUCAACCUGCCCUUCAGUGGGGGACAACAGUUGGAAACGACUGCUCAUACCGCAUACUGAAGGAGGGGAUUGCGUCUGGUUAGCUAGUUGGGGGGGUAACGGCCCACCAAGGCGAUGAUCAGUAGCCGGGCUGGGAGGAUGAACGGGCACAUUGGGACUGAGAAACGGCCCAGACUCCUACGGGGGGCAGCAGGGGGGAAUCAUCCGCAAUGGAGGAAAGUCUGACGAAGCAACGCCGCGUGAGGGAUGGCGGGCUUCGGGUUGUAAAGCUCUGUUAAUCGGGACGCGGUACCGGAAUAGAAAGCCACGGCUAACUACGUGCCAGCAGCCGCGGUAAUAC
rnacentral:rRNA from 1 species